CUCGAGCAAAGGUCACGAACUCUAACCAACUGCGUCCAUCUCGUUGGCGUUUAAGGUUAGACGACGGUGUACGCGUUAAGUGCGGUACGAUUUAAUAUGACGCGAUAGUGUCGCGACGUGUAAUCUGAGGUUUUCGCGUGAUCGCCAAGUGAAGUCCAGAACGAGACAUGGGUGUACCAGCAUUUUUCCGUUGGCUCAGCCGCAAGUAUCCCUCCGUAAUCGUCGAGUGCAUCGAGCAGAAGCCGGCAACCCCAGACGGAAUAUGCAUUCCCGUGAAUUCAGCAGAGCCGAAUCCAAACGGGGUGGAAUUUGAUAAUUUGUACCUGGACAUGAACGGUAUAAUACACCCCUGUACGCAUCCCGAGGACAAACCCGCACCCAAGGACGAAGAUGAAAUGAUGGAGGCCAUUUUCGAGUGUAUCGACCGAUUGUUUCGUAUCGUCAGACCGAGGAAGUUACUUUACAUGGCGAUCGACGGAGUCGCGCCCAGAGCUAAGAUGAAUCAACAAAGAUCCCGGCGAUUUCGCGCGUCCAAGGAAACGACUGAGAAGAUUAAUGAGAUAGACAGGAUACGUUCGGAAUUGGUCCUCAAGGGAGCAGCCUUGCCACCGGAGAAACCGAAGGAAGCGCAUUUCGACAGUAAUUGCAUCACGCCGGGCACACCGUUUAUGGCGAGAUUAUCCGCAUGCUUGCAUUAUUACAUUCAUGAGCGUUUGAACAAUGACCCGGGUUGGAGGAAUAUUAAAGUAAUAUUAAGCGAUGCUAAUGUUCCCGGUGAGGGAGAACAUAAAAUAAUGGAUUUUAUACGGCGACAAAGAGCACAACCGGAUCACGAUCCUAAUACGCAACAUGUUUUAUGCGGAGCAGACGCCGAUUUAAUUAUGUUGGGUCUCGCUACGCAUGAACCUAAUUUCACUAUUAUACGCGAGGAAUUUAAACCAAAUAAGCCGAAGCCCUGCGAUAUAUGUGGUCAAUUGGGGCACGAGAUGCGCGAGUGUACAGGCGCGGCAGCGAACCAACAGCCGGAGGAAAACGUAUUCGGAUCUGAAUGCCAGUUCAUAUUUGUGCGAUUAAAUGUUCUCAGAGAAUAUUUAGAAAGAGAGCUGUACAUGCCAAAUCUACCGUUCAAAUAUGAUUUCGAGCGUGCCGUCGAUGAUUGGGUGUUUAUGUGCUUCUUCGUAGGAAACGAUUUUUUACCUCACCUCCCUUCUCUGGAAAUUAGAGAAGGCGCGAUUGACAGACUUGUUGCUCUGUAUAAGAAAGCAGUAUAUAAAACUGGAGGUUUCUUAACUGAUAGCGGUGACGUUAAUUUAGAUCGCGUACAGUUGAUUAUGUCAGAUCUUGGUGAUGUAGAAGACGAGAUCUUUAAAAAGAGGCAACAAAAUGAAUUGGCAUUUAAGCAACGUGAAAAAAUAAAAAAGAAAAGAAGCGAAAUUAUCAGUAAUUUUAAACCAACGUGGAUUCCUGCGGGUCAAUUUGCACCCACUGCUCUUGGAAAACAAAAGGUAAAAUCCAUAGAGAACGCACGUUAUGAAGCUUUUAAAAUGCGUGUAAUGGGUAGGAAUUAUAAUACGAGCGCUGCUGAACAGUCGGGCCGUAAUAACGAUCUAGAGAGCAUGCUAAGACCUGAGGGCACGGGCAGUAGAGGACAAAAACGUAAAGCUGAUGAGGUUGCGCCGACCGAUGACUCGGAUGACGAUCAGGCGCACGAUGAGGUGCGACUUUGGGAGGAUGGUUUUAAAGAUCGAUAUUACGAAUCUAAAUUCGACGUAUCUCCCGACAAUCUCGCAUUUAGAAACAACGUCGCUUUACAAUACGUGCGAGGCUUAUGCUGGGUCUUGCGAUACUAUUAUCAGGGCUGUGCAUCGUGGCGGUGGUAUUUUCCGUACCAUUAUGCGCCAUUUGCCAGCGAUUUCAUUAAUAUCGGCGGUCUUUCUACAGAGUUUGAGAAGGAUACUAUACCAUUUCGCCCAUUAGAGCAAUUGAUGGGUGUAUUUCCUGCUGCCAGCAGGAAACACGUGCCUGAGCCGUGGGCGAAAUUAAUGAUGGAUCCGAAAUCUCAGAUCAUUGAUUUUUAUCCAGAAAAUUUUAAAAUCGACUUGAAUGGAAAGAAAUUCGCUUGGCAAGGUGUAGCCUUGCUUCCAUUUGUUGACGAGAAAAGAUUGUUUAAGGCUUUGGCACCAUAUUACGACAGUUUAACGGAGGCAGAAAAAAAGAGAAACGUCCGCGGCGACGACAGGCUGUACGUCGGGAUGGAAAACAAGGGCUACGACUUCGUGAAAGGCCUCUACGCGAAUCGCAUCGGGUUCGACAAAGAAGUCGAGAUAAGCGUGGACGGGAUGCGAGGCACCGUGUGCCUGUCCGAGGACUGCGUCAGCGACGGAGGUACGCUACCUUCGCCCGUGAGAGGCCUGCCGGUUAGGAACAACAAGGUCUACUGCAUCAAGUUCAAGGAUCCAAAGUACGGUAGCAAUCACAUAUUCCUCGCUCGCAAGCUAAAGGGGGCCCAAGAACCGUCGCGCGUCCUGAAGCCGCAGGACUUCGACGCUAUGAAUCAUAAGAACGGGGGCCAGUGGAAGCCGCAAAUCGGUUUCACCCGAUCUACGCAGUCAGCUACGUUGGGGCAGGCAGGGCACAGGAUGCUGGACCACCAUGUGAGCCACAACAACAGACCUGCUCAGAGCUCGUAUGCGAAUGUUCCCCCGCCAGGGAAUUUAUACAGCCAGUUUCAUGGUUACCGAAGCGAGUACCAAUCGGGAUCGGGAUACGGUUACAAUAGCGCCAGCUCGAGUCACAUGCGUGGACCAUGGACAUCCGGGUAUGGUAUGCGCCAGUCGAAUUACCCGCCCUCGGAUUAUCAACAUCAUCGCAGUCAUUACGAUAAUCAUCGCCAGCAAUCGUCACGGAACACCGGCAGUUAUCAGAACGCGCAGCACGGCUACUACGGUCAACGAGGGAAUUACUCAUCGACUCGAGGGGGAGGUGGAGGUGGAGGUGGAGGAGGCCACCGAGAUGCAUGGCGACGAUAGACGUUCGAGUAAGUGGUCGAUUAAUUGUCGCGCAUCAUAUAAUAGUUAAGAAAUUCUGCAAAGAAGUAAUAAUUGUGUCUAGUUAGGAUUUAAGGAUCAUUGUCAAAGUACGCGUUCUAAGAGGAUGCGUUAAUUCGCAAACGAGGCAGGUCGGAGUGCUUGGUGCAACAAACGCGCAAUCGGUGUUAGGGCGGCGUCACAUGGAGCGCAACUUGCGUAAGCGUAACCUGCGUAUCGCCAAUCACAGAACCGUUUUGACGGAAUCAUUGAAACGGCUCUAUCAGAAUGACCCUGUGACUGGUCGUGGAGUUACGCCGUACGCACGAUACGCGCCAUGAGACCCUUGGUAUUUGAGCACUGCGUUUCUUAAGUACUACAUUCCGAAUGCUGUAGCACGUGUCUUUCUUAACGCGAUUAUGAGAUAUCAGCUUUUUUUAUGGCUAAUUUUAUGAAGGACGUAUCGAAAAAAUAUCGUCUAAAUACGUGCGCAGCAUGUUUCAAAUCACGAGGUUUCUGAUUAGAAAUUUCGAAUUGUAAAUUCGUUGACUUGAAUGAAGUUUUCUGCGAGGUUUGUAGUAGCGACUGUCAUCAUUGAUUUUUUGAGAUAACACGAUAACGGAAUGACAAUUUUGUUAAGGCAGGACCUGUUCCAGCUCACUGGAAAAGGAGAAAUUUUAGUGUCCACGCAAUAUCUGUACGUUUCCUAUUGAAUUUUCGCUCUGAAACAUUCCAAUUUAUCGGAAAAUUCGUAACCGAGAGGAAAACUUGAUAUAGCGUAUGCAUUUGCUACACUUGUCAGAAACGAUCUAUGUUGUGAAAGAAAAUUCAUAUCGCGGAGUCACAUUAUAUAAGAAAAAAAAACGCAAGCGCAAUUUAUGCAACAGUCAAUCUAGUACUUUCAAAAAUCACAGAUUAAAUUGUGCAUUGUACAUUUGAUCGUGAUUCUUUUACUAUUUACGUUCUGUUCUUUUUUUAUUGCUAUAAUCUCAUUAAUAAAAUAAAUGGUGCAUUGGAUAAUAAUGGCAUUGUACAUCUUUCCGAUACACAUACGCUUGUCAAAUCACUAGCUUUGUUCUCGCGUUUAUAGAGGUACCAUAAAGGACUAGAUAGUCCUUGGAGUUAACUUAAGCGGAAAGUUUUUCGUCGCUUCUUUAAUCAGCUAAAUGUUUUUUUCCGUGUUUAUUAUCAUCUACAGUUAUGGAUUAUAGGAUUCUCAUAUCAUUGUCUAACGAUUAGAACGGGUACGUUGACGUACGUAUAAUUUGUGGAUUGUAUAUUAAUGGCUAACAGUGAGGUUUUGGUUGAAUUAGGUAUGUAAGUGUCGCCGCAUUGAAUUUCGCGUACGAAAUUCCGUGCCGUGAUGGGAUGUAGCGAUAUAUCGAUGUGUCACCGAAUGGCCGAACCGGCAUUUGGAAUUUCUCACUCUGUAUUGAAAUACACAAUAUUUCCUUAAUGAAA